CCUACGGGAGGCAGCAGUAAGGAAUAUUGGUCAAUGGAGGCAACUCUGAACCAGCCAUGCCGCGUGCAGGAUGACGGCCCUAUGGGUUGUAAACUGCUUUUAUACAAGAGAAAACCCUGGUACGUGUACCAGGUUGAUAGUAUUGUAAGAAUAAGCAUCGGCUAACUUCGUGCCAGCAGCCGCGGUAAGACGAAGGAUGCAAGCGUUAUCCGGAUUCAUUGGGUUUAAAGGGUGCGUAGGCGGACUGAUAAGUCAGUGGUGAAAUCUCUUUGCUUAACAAAGAAACUGCCAUUGAUACUGUCGGUCUAGAGUAUAGAUGACGUUGGCGGAAUAUGACAUGUAGUGGUGAAAUACUUAGAUAUGUCAUAGAACACCGAUUGCGAAGGCAGCUAACGAAACUAUAACUGACGCUGAGGCACGAAAGUGCGGGGAUCAAACAGGAUUAGAUACCCUGGUAGUCCGCACCGUAAACGAUGAUUACUCGUUGUUGGCGAUAUGACAGUCAGCGACCAAGCGAAAGCGAUAAGAAUCCACCUGGGGAGUACGCCGGCAACGGUUGAAACUUAAAUGAAUUGACGGCGNGAGAGNGCGACGGACGACGACGAGGGAGGAGG
rnacentral:rRNA from 1 species